CAGCAACCCCUUAAGGCCGGAGCCAGCACCCUGUUGAUAUAGACUGUUUGAUCAUUGCAUGGGGGGUGACUCAUGUCCUCACUGACCAGCCGCUCUGAUAACACCCAAGAAUGGAAUGCAGCGGCCUGUGAAGAUGGAGAAGAAUGGAGGAAGUGUGAACUUAGGCAUUUACAUAGUAUUGUGUACCAGGAGGAGCUCAGGUCAGAUAACCAACUGCUUCAGACAUAGCAGCUAAAUUUUACAAGUUUAAACCUUUAGGCAGAAACAUAGGGACUUUUUUCAUUCUUUGCAGUGACUCUAAAUGGAGGGCUGAACCUUCAAGCAGAGGAGUCUGAGUCAUCAACUGAUACCUCAACACCCGGGACCUCAUCUGAUACUGACUCCUCAUCUGUGCUUUCAGAGGACGUGGUAUUACCCGACCUGUGGGGCGAUUUGGAUCAAUAUUUCCAUCAAGGGUUAUCGCCAUCAUCACCGCCACAGGAUGACGCAACAGGACAUGCCUCAGACGGUCAAAAACAUUAUACAUUCUCUAGAGUCUGUCCGGUUAACCGGAAGAGAUCCAGGGAUGUGAUACCGCAUCAAAAUUUUGAAGAACAACCGCCAUUUCACCAGGAGUCUGUCUCAACCGCUAAUCAACCGCUGAUGGCGCGGAGAGGUCUAGGCCUCAACCAGCGGACAGAGAUCCAGGAUUCUCAUCGGGUCGCAACAAGAGGAGAACCAGUUCUGAGAAUCCACACCUGAGAUCCGCGGGGCUUCCAGCAAAGGUUUUCCAUCGGCACGCUCAAACAGACACAGGUCCAGACCAUCCAGGUGUCCUCGGUGCUGCAGAGCUACACGCCAGCAAAUGGAGCUGAUGUCUAGAGCCUUUUGGCUCCUCUGUCAGAAGUUAAAUGUACAAAGUGACAAUUUGUAAACUGUUUCAGACUGUGAUUUUUAUCAUCUGUAUAAAUUGAGGAUGUUGAUUUAGGUAGAUAGACGACGGGCCACUGAUGGGGGAGUAUUCCCGUCCUUAGUCUGUAUUGUUCUGGGCAGCCGGGUGUGAGAUCGAUGAUUAAAUACCCGUGAGGAUCUUUGGUAGCAUCUUCAAAACUUUCUAAUAAAAAGGCUUUUCAACCGUGAAA